rnacentral:rRNA from 1 species
UCUGGUUGAUCCUGCCAGUAGUCAUAUGCUUGUCUCAAAGAUUAAGCCAUGCAUGUCUAAGUACAAGCCACAUUAAGGUGAAACCGCGAAUGGCUCAUUAAAUCACACCUAACCUACUGGAUAGUAUCUUUACUUGGAUACCUGCGGUAAUUCUGGAGCUAAUACAUGCGUACGAGCCCCGAACUUACGUGAGGGGCGCUUUUAUUAGAUCAAAACCAAACGACUUCGGUCGUACCUUUGGUGACUCUGAAUAACUUUGUGCUGAUCGUAUGGCUUCACGCCGACGACAUAUCCUCUGCGAGGUGUGACCUAUCAACUGUCGACUGUGGUAUAGUCGCCCACAGUGGUUUUGACGGGUAACGGGGAAUUAGGGUUCGAUUCCGGAGAGGGAGCCUGAGAAACGGCUACCACUUCUAAGGAAGGCAGCAGGCACGCAAAUUACCCACUGGUCGUAGACCGAGGUAGUGACGAAAAAUAACGAUACCGGACUCAUCCGAGGCCCGGUAAUCGGAAUGAGUACACUUUAACGCCUUUAACGAGGAACAAUUGGAGGGCAAGUCUGGUGCCAGCAGCCGCGGUAAUUCCAGCUCCAAUAGCGUAUAUUAAAGUUGUUGCGGUUAAAAAGCUCGUAGUUGGAUCUCGGCGAGUUGGGGGCGGUUUGGUGAUUACCACAACUGCUCCAUGUACUCGUGUUUUUGGCGGAGGUUCCAGGGUUCUCUUUACCGAGUGUCCUGGGAUGCCGUCAGGUUUACUUUGAAAAAAUUAGAGUGCUCAACGCAGGCUUUACACGCUUGAAUAGUCGUGCAUGGAAUAAUAGAAUAGGACGUCGUUUCUAUUUUGUUGGUUUUCUGAAAUUGACGUAAUGAUUAAUAGGGACAGUCGGGGGCAUUCGUAUUCAAACGACAGAGGUGAAAUUCUUGGACCGUUUGAAGACGAACUACUGCGAAAGCAUUUGCCAAGAAUGUUUUCAUUAAUCAAGAACGAAAGUCAGAGGUUCGAAGGCGAUCAGAUACCGCCCUAGUUCUGACCAUAAACGAUGCCAGCUAGCGAUC